GACGAACGCUGGCGGCGUGCUUAACACAUGCCAGUCGAACGGAAAGGCCCUGCUUUUGUGGGGUGCUCGAGUGGCGAACGGGUGAGUAACACGUGAGUAACCUGCCCUGGACUGUGGGAUAACUUCAGGAAACUGGGGCUAAUACCGGAUAGGAGCUCCUGCGGCAUGGUGGGGGUUGGAAAGUUUCGGCGGUUGGGGAUGGACUCGCGGCUUAUCAGCUUGUUGGUGGGGUAGUGGCUUACCAAGGCUUUGACGGGUAGCCGGCCUGAGAGGGUGACCGGCCACAUUGGGACUGAGAUACGGCCCAGAGUCCUACGGGAGGCAGCAGUGGGGAAUAUUGCACAAUGGGCGGAAGCCUGAUGCAGCAACGCCGCGUGCGGGAUGACGGCCUUCGGGUUGUAAACCGCUUUCGCCUGUGACGAAGCGUGAGUGACGGUAAUGGGUAAAGAAGCACCGGCUAACUACGUG
rnacentral:rRNA from 1 species